AGGAACAUGUGGUUUAAUUCGAUGAUACGCGAGGAACCUUACCCGGGCUUAAAUUGCAACCGAAUAUGGCGGAAACGCCAUAGCUAGCAAUAGCGGUUGUGAAGGUGCUGCAUGGUUGUCGUCAGCUCGUGCCGUGAGGUGUCGGCUUAAGUGCCAUAACGAGCGCAACCCUUGCCGAUAGUUACUAACAGGUUAUGCUGAGGACUCUGUCGGGACUGCCAUCGUAAGAUGUGAGGAAGGUGGGGAUGACGUCAAAUCAGCACGGCCCUUACGUCCGGGGCUACACACGUGUUACAAUGGGGGGUACAGAGGGCUGCUACCACGCAAGUGGAUGCCAAUCCCAAAAACCUCUCUCAGUUCGGAUUGAAGUCUGCAACCCGACUUCAUGAAGCUGGAUUCGCUAGUAAUCGCGCAUCAGCCACGGCGCGGUGAAUACGUUCCCGGGCCUUGUACACACCGCCCGUCAAGCCAUGGGAGCCGGGGGUACCUGAAGUGCGUAACCGCAAGGAGCGCCCUAGGGUAAAACUGGUGACUGGGGCUAAGUCGUAACAAGGUAACCGU
rnacentral:rRNA from 1 species